AUAAACGCGUUGAUGGAAACGAGUAAGUUUCGUGGUCUCUGACAGCGAACCCGGGUGAGGUGAAAGCCGGGGCAGAUACCGAAACUGAAAAUCCUUCCGAAGCGGCAACCUGAACGCAGGAGACUGCCAGUAGGUGCGCCGGGCUCACCCACCGUUAUUGCGGGUGCGGGCAUUAUCUUCCAGAGCGUGCCUGGCUGAGCGCCUCUCAUCCUGAGAGGAAGCAGGGUGGUACCGCGAGAACAAGCUCUCGUCCCUGAG
rnacentral:ncRNA from 1 species